UUCAUCAUGGGGAAACUUUCGAACUUCCGAUUUUGCCCCUGUUUUUGCUCAUGAUUUACAGAGAAACAGAAAGGAGACAGGUGGCAAAUAGAAAGGAAGGAGACGACAUCUGGCUUCUUCUGCGGAUGGUUUUGGCGCGGUUUUGAUAUGAUGGGAGACGGAGAUGAUGCUUUGAUCUGGAUUCUGCCGACAUAAAAAAAAGUUAGUUCAGCCAGACAGAGAGUGAGGGAGAGAAGAAAAAGUUCAGAAGAAAGAAGAAAAGCAACCAAAUCGAAUCCAAAACCGCAAGCGUCAAACACCAAUCGGCAAGCUUUUCAGAUCAAAAACAAAGAAUCCAAAACAAACCCAGACCAAUGCGUGCGUAAUUGAGCUCAUUUGGUCAAAUCGGAAUAUCUGAUUGAGCAUCCAUUUGAUCGAAUCGGAGGAUCCGAUUGAGCAAUCAGAUAUCUUUGACCUGUUGAGGUUCAACCGUUCAGACUGUGUUAAAGAGAGGGAGAUAGAGUUGCAGCAUGCCUGUAGAUAAGAGAAGAGAGAGGGAGAUACAGUCUUCUUAUUUUGAAAUCGAGCAGAGGAAGCUAAUUAUAUUCUGAAAUAGUGGGAAUUGCAGAAAGGUCAGAGAAGAAACUGAAGCAGGUGAAACUAGACGAUAGAAGUUCCAAGGACCGUAGUCUAGAUGAAUCAGAGGGAAGGAUUCAGUAGACGGCUAUUCAUUUGGGGCUUGAAAAUCAGGGAGAUGAGAAGAAUAACAUGAAGAAUUUCACUACAUUGAUCGUGGAUAUGAUGAAAAAAGAGAAACCAUUUGCUUCUCAAGGAGGUCCUAUCAUUAUUGCUCAGAUACAUAUGCUUAGAUAUAUAUAUCGAGGUCAAACCUUACAACACCUUUAUCUAACCAAAAUGGAUUACAAAGGCUAAAGUAAGAACACACUAUAAAUUAUUGCAUUGCAUUUGAAUUAAAUUAUAAAUAUAGGGUAUUAUAGAAAAUCCAUAAUUUGGCAAUGCUUUUUGUUACACAUUCCCCUGAAAUAUGUUACAGUUUAUCAUUGCCUCAUGUUCUUGAAUAAAUGAUAUUUAGCUCUCUCCUGUUUCAUUACAACAACAUCUAUUUGAUAAAUUCUUUGAUAAGUUUUACCAGAGUAAUAUUGGCCGACUUUUGCCUUACUAAUUUGCAAUGAUAUCUUCAGGUAUAUGCAAGAUUAUCUCCCCUGUCAGUGCUUCUACUCCUGCUGGAUUGUAAAUGAAAGAUCAGUUUGUUUUUUCACUUCCGUUUGCAAUAAAAUCCAAUUUCAUUUACAGAAUUUGUUACAAUAUAAAAUAAUCAUAAUAAAUCAAACAAAGA